UACAGAGGGUGCAAGCGUUAAUCGGAAUUACUGGGCGUAAAGCGUGCGUAGGUGGUUUGUUAAGUCUGUUGUGAAAGCCCCGGGCUCAACCUGGGAAUGGCAAUGGAUACUGGCAAGCUAGAGUGCGGUAGAGGGUAGUGGAAUUCCCGGUGUAGCGGUGAAAUGCGUAGAGAUCGGGAGGAACACCUGUGGCGAAGGCGGCCACCUGGGCCGACCCUGACGCUGAGGCGCGAAGGCGUGGGGAGCGAACGGG
rnacentral:rRNA from 1 species